AAAAACUCAAUUUCUAGGUUUCCGUGUCCAACGUUUGACUGUCCGUCUUAUUUAAAAAAAUUAUGAAAAAAUUUAAAAGUAUAAUUCACACAUAAAGUAUUAAUCAUGUUUUAUCAUCUAACAACAAUAAAAAUACUAAUCAUAAAAAAAUUUUAUAUAAGACGAACAGUCAAACGUUGUACAUAAAAACCCAGGAAUUGAGUCUUU
rfam:Oryza sativa Japonica Group DNA, chromosome 9, cultivar: Nipponbare, complete sequence.